AUCACGCGAGUUCCCGGCUCCGCCACCAGCUCUCGGCCCCGGAAUCCCGCACUCUCUCAGUGACCCGGAAGUAUCGACCUCAAAGGGCCGCAGUUUCCAGGAGCUCCGUUUUUUUGCCGAGAUGUCUGCGGCUGGGCAAUGCUAAGGCGGGAGACCUGACGUGCCAACCCCGCCCCUCACAAGCAGCCGCGCACGGAUGUAAUGGCCCCCACCCAUCGGCCAAGGAAGGGGAAGCGGAAAGAGCGCGUUAUGGCGUGGGAAGACUACAGCGUAACUGGGCACGUCCCCCUCCUAGAAAUGUUGGGGAAGCAAAAGCCUUUGCUGCUCCAGGAUUGGAAGGAUCCUCGAUACCAGGUCGCUGGAUUGAGGGCUCCGCACGGACACAGAAAUCUCAAAAAUGAUACAGCGAGCCCACCACCCUCCUGAUACAACUAAGACCCAAGCUAUGGGGGAAGAACUUCACCUUAGAAAGGGAAAUAAAAUGCCCAGGCUUCAUCAGAGCGCUGGGAUUGGUAGGGGAAGGGCGCUAGGAAACAAAUGGCUUGAGAGGAUUCACAACUCAGUAUCCAAAGACCAAGUCGUGACAGCGUCUUUCCAGUCUCUUUUUUUGCUGCAGUUCAUGAAGUGACACACUAUGGCUUCCCCAAAGCACCGUUACUUCAGUUAAUUCAAAACAAAAUGUACGUGUUUCUUGAUGAAAUUCUUCCUUCUCAUCUCUUAUAAGAACUUCGAGUUUGAAUCUAGAACAAUAUUUUGCCUAUUAUUCAGCUUAAAUCAUUCCCUUACCUUGAGCAAACUGGACAGUCUACACAAAUCCUUUAAUAAAGUACAGAUGACUUGUCUGCUCUA